rfam:Triticum aestivum genome assembly, contig: Triticum_aestivum_CS42_TGACv1_scaffold_095614_2AL
AAUGUACUCCCUCCGUUCGGAAUUACUUGUCGCAGAAAUGGAUGUACCUAGAAUACGUCUAGGUACAUCCAUUUCUGCGACAAGUAAUUCCGAACGGAGGGAGUAAGAA